rnacentral:rRNA from 1 species
GAUGAACGCUGGCGGCGUGCCUAAUACAUGCAAGUCGAGCGAACGGACGAGAAGCUUGCUUCUCUGAUGUUAGCGGCGGACGGGUGAGUAACACGUGGAUAACCUACCUAUAAGACUGGGAUAACUUCGGGAAACCGGAGCUAAUACCGGAUAAUAUUUUGAACCGCAUGGUUCAAAAGUGAAAGACGGUCUUGCUGUCACUUAUAGAUGGAUCCGCGCUGCAUUAGCUAGUUGGUAAGGUAACGGCUUACCAAGGCAACGAUGCAUAGCCGACCUGAGAGGGUGGUCGGCCACACUGGAACUGAGACACGGUCCAGACUCCUACGGGAGGCAGCAGUAGGGAAUCUUCCGCAAUGGGCGAAAGCCUGACGGAGCAACGCCGCGUGAGCGAUGAAGGUCUUCGGAUCGUAAAACUCUGUUAUUAGGGAAGAACAUAUGUGUAAGUAACUGUGCACAUCUUGACGGUACCUAAUCAGAAAGCCACGGCUAACUACGUG